rnacentral:lncRNA from 10 species
UCUAUCAAAUCUGAAGGUCACUGGAAAUCUGGGAGCUCAGAGGAGGAAAGAAGGACCAGGAGCAAGGAGAGGGGGCCCUUGGGCACACAGGGUGAGGCUGAGAAGAGGCUCCUCUGGCUACAACUGAAGCCUGAGCAGAGGAGAUGAGCACCCACCUACCUGCCCUUGUCCAGUGCAUAGAGAAAAGAAGGGGUUUGGGGAGGAAACAUAGGCCAACCAUUAAACUGUGGAGAAGGAAGGUGGAGAGUGCCUGUAUAUGGAAAGAAGAAAAGCUAACUUCAUGGCUUUCUUGUA